rnacentral:rRNA from 1 species
GAAUGGCAAAGGACCAAGAAAAGGCUCGCCGCUUUCCACGGUGAGUGGAUUGCCGUUAUGGGAGUGUAUCAUAGUGGUCACAAUAGUCAUGACCUGCAAAAAAUGGCGUUGGAGAAGUAUGAACGGAACUAUCACCAGCCUUUCCAACAUUUAACUAUGUGGGAAAAAAUCAAGGAUGAUUCAAAAUGGCUAGCCUCUUAUAAACAUGAUGGCAAAAAAGGAAACAUGACAGAGACCGAUCUCCCAUCAAAUAUGAUCAACUUGGAGGCCGAAGAGCGCCCAAAAGCUGGUCGUGAUAAGGCUAAGGCUGAACGUGCUGGUAAAGGAAAGUCGGGAGGGAUCUCACAAGAGCUUGGAGAAAGGCUAGACAAGUUCAUCGAGGUUAACAAUCAAUCGAAGGAGGAGCGCCAAAAGGUGAUAGACAGCCAGGUUCUUUUAUCAAAUCAACAGCUUGAAACCGCAAAGAUCAACAGCAAGACAAAAAUGUUGGAUGUUUACUCCAAAAUGCUUUUAGCGGACACAUCUAAAAUGGAUGAUGCUGAAAAGGCUCGGCGUGCUAAGGCUUUGAGCAGAAUGGAGGCCAUAUUAUUUCCUGAAGAAGCUUCAGGUAUUGUUAAUUCCCAAGCACAUGUACUCAUUUCAAGCAUCUCCAAGCAACUACUAACUAUUUCAUUGUUUGUCUCUCGAUCGGUUAAUUUUUGUUGUGAACCUGAGUAG